GUUUUCAUCCGAGUUCCGAGUCGGAGAGAAAUAAUCGAACACACCAUUAUAGUUUAUGCCGGGUAAUCCUCAGUUUCGUAUCUGAUCCCGCUGGUGGUGGUAGACCCUUUUCUUCAGAUCUCCGAAUGAAAUAAGUAUAAGACGUCAGCGCGUGAUCAAAGAUGACAGAAGAAGCAGGCACUCUUUCUCGUGCUAGGACUGUGGUACAGCAGUGUCUACACGCUAGACUUCAGGUCAAGCCAGCGGAAGGGCAAUCUGAAGCGGAGUGGGUGGAGAUUCAGAGGGGAAUCGUGAUUUUUAUCUGCUUUUUCAAAGGAGCAGAAGAAGAUAUUAUUCCCAAAAUGGUGAACUCCCUGCUUAAUGUUAAGCUGUGUGAGACAGACUCUGGGAAACAUGUGUCUGUGUUGGACUUGCCUGGAAGUGUACUCAUUGUGCCCCAGGCCACGCUGGGGGGCAAAGCCAAAGGCCGAAGCAUGCAGUACCAUGGAAACAUUGGCAAAGACGAUGGAUUGCGGCUGUACAGCCAGUUUGCCUUGCAGUGUGAGAAAGGGAUGGCAGCAUCCAGCAAAUGUACUGAAGCAGGUAUGGUUGUAAAAUAUGGGACCUAUGGAAACAGACAAGUACUGAGCCUAGAUACCAAUGGACCCUAUACACAUCUUAUAGAAUUUUAAUCAUAGGAUAUAUUUCUGUCUUCUCAUACUUGCUUUUCACAAGCAGUGGGGAAAAAAUAAAUAAAUAAAGAUAUAUAUAUAUAUAUAUAUAUAUUAGUUCAUGAACUCCGGAUCAUAACAUAGAAAAGAAAAACUUUUUUUUUUUUUUACAAAAUGGGCAUUUUUGAUUUUUUUUUGUGUUAAAUUAUGUGUGUAAUGUAGGUAAAUGUCACUCCUGUCUUUGAUAAAAUAAAGUAAUGUAAAGAAUGUAAUUUAAGUGUGUGGUUAAUUAACAAUAUUUUUUCCCAUUUAUUUGUAUGCUCCGGAUUGCGGAUGGAUCUUUUUCAAAAAAUUUUUGUAGCCUUGCACAGGGAAUAAACCUGGGCCCAUAUUCAUAAAGCAUUUUAUUGUAUCACUAAGAGCACUCCUAAGUCACACUAAGGGCUUUAUUUUGUCGAUCUAAUGCAAAGCACAAAACGCAACUAACAUUUAUGGGUAUGUUCAAAUCCAUUUAGCUAUUUUAACAGUGGGAAAAAACAGACUUUGCACCAGCGCAAGGUGAAGCAGGCGUGGCAUGAGGUAGCAGCGAACGUGUCCUCAUUUUCCCGCAUCACCAGAUCACCUGCUCAUUGCAGAAAGCAGUAUAAUGAUGUCAAAAGAUGGGGAAGCUCACUGCUGAAUGAGCAUGGUGGCUUGGAACAGGGAUUUAAUUAUGCUUGUGUGUUUUUUUUUUUUUUUUCUUAAUUUUGAAAAUUAUAAUGAGAAAUGCAAUUUGAAUUUUUGUUCAAACAAAACAAUCCACAGUUUUUAAGAUCUUUUAAUUGACUUAAUUGGGGACACAUUGGAGGACUUUAGAAGGCAUGAUGCUGAACUGUAUGUGCUAAUUCCAACAAAGGAGUGUAUGCCGGCCACAGCACGGGCAAGGAGGGAUCAGCUGACAGAAGAUCUGAAUCAUCUGUAGUCUGGUAAGGAAUCUAAAGUGUGAGAUGUAGAAAAAUGUCAGGCCCAUUGCCUUUUAUUUCAUGGAGGUAUGCUCUUCUCUUAUUUUAAUCUUUGAUUAGUUCCAUUUGCUGUUGGCAUUUAUGCUAGCAAGUGGAGUUUUUUUCUUAAACGUUUAAAAUUUUCAGUUCUACCAAACUCUGUUACCAAGGUUAUUUCCAGGCAUUGCGGAAUUUGUCUGUCCAUUUUAUUUACUCAAUGGAAAAAAAUGAUGCACUUCCUUACGAAACCUAAAUGACAGGCUAUUAGCCAACAUAGAAUGAUGAGCAAAAUGGAAUUUCAGCAGCUUCAUAGCAAUGAAGAUGAAUCGGAUCCUUCAUGGACACCAGCCCCAAACAAAAGAAAACCCAACUAGCCACAUGGACCAGCUGCUGCUCCUUUCUCAGUUGGUGUUGGAAAGGAAGCACAUAAUCAAAGGCAAUUUCAGACCUGUAGCUUCCAUAUAAAUGCAGCUGACUCACUCGUGCUGAGGACUGCAGACGACUGAAAAGUACUGGUACGCACUACAGUCAUAGUCGAGAGCAGAGAUUGCAGCCUUGAAACAAGCAAAUUCUGCUACAGCACAGGUCAGCACUACAUAACUGCAUUAUCACUUCAAGUUUGCCAAUGAUACAUCAGUUGUGGGUCUCAUCAACAACAGUGAUGAGAUGGCAUACAGGGAAGAGGUGACAAGACUCACUGGCUGAUGCAUAGACAACAACUUGUCUCUAAAUGUGGACAAAAUGAAAGAGAUGAUUGUAGACUUCAGGAAAUAAAGCACUGAAUACGCUCCACUCUUCAUCAACGAUUCCAUCGUCGAGAGGGUCAGCAGCACCAAGAUUCCAUGAUGUCCAUGUUCUCAAGACGGAUGCAUCAUGAUGGUGACAUGAUUGACAAACUGACAUGUCUGAAGGAGAUUCUUUCUCUGCUUUAUGUGCCAGUGUGGCUGAAGGCAAGCAUUGGUGCUAAUGCACCUGUCCUGGACUUGCUACUUUUCUCAGACAUGAUGGAAAACUGCAGUAUGGAAGAAAAAGUGGCAAACACUGUGCUGGCCAGGCUAAGCAACCAUCAAUGGUACUUCACACAAAAGACUAUACUAUUUAUACUGUUUAGCAGCCAUUCAUUGGCCAUAAAAUGAACGAAGCAGGAUAUUGCAGCCAACUUCGGAGAACAUCAGAACUCAGAAGACCUAUGUUCUCAGAUUUGACACAAUGUAGAGUAUGAGCCGAAUUAAUUGGACCAGAAUCUCACAUACUGUUUCGUGCACUGAAUGUCAGAAGCAGUUGGCUGAACUUAUCUGUUGACUAGUGGCAUUCUGGCGAUAUCUGCACAAACAAAACAUUAGUUCACUCAGUGAAAGUUGUCAAUGAUACAGCUGAGCACAGUCAAACUCAUCACUGACUUUGCCACAUGUAUUAUUACAGCCCAGCGAACAGCCUUGCUGCAAGCUGUUGAACAUUAGACAGUUGUAUCCAGACUAUCAAAAGAAAACGUUAAACAUUAAAGUUGGCUGACUGCAGCCAAACACUGAAAACAAUAGUACCCGAUUAUAAUUACAGUUGGAUUGGUGUUUAUGACCCAUCAUUGUGCCUACAUUUAUGUUCUUGUGUAACAGUAUUGUCAAUUUUCUGUUUUAAUAAAAUCUAAUCAAUCCGU